GCAGGAUUUGAAAUUGUUGUCUCCCUGUACCGCCUGAAGCUUCAAAUAAACUUUUCUACUUCUCCACCCCAUUGUAAUUAUUGGGCGACGCACACCAGGCAACGAAUCCAGCUGUUGCCUGCCUCGGGCAUUUUGUGCAAGCAACAGUUUUUGGCGCCCAACGUGGGGCGAGAGGCUACAACACAAGCCUUGCCCGGAUCCCUUCCGGGAACCGGCGGUUGAGGACUCCAACCGACGCCCAGUGCACACCGGUGUGAUUCCCAGGGGCCUCGGAGGGGCAUAGCCCAACCAGCCCCAUAGGGCACAACGGUGCAACGCGCCUGAUAAGUGGAGAAGUGCUGCGGGCGACGGUGGGGAACCGGUCCUUCGGAUAAGCCCGGCGAUUCUGUGCUUGUUUGCAUCUGGAAAGACGAGCCUCUCCAGAAAAAGUGGAAAGGACCCUACAUUGUCCUGCUAAUCUCCCAUACGGCGGCAAAGGUCAAGGGACACAAGAACUGGAUCCAUCACUCGCGUCUGAAGGCAGUACCCACCCCUUAUCAGCAGAGCAGUGGACUGUCCACCCUGUUAACUCCUCAUCUAGUGAUGAUCUUGGGCUAAAGUUACUGUUUAAAAGACACAAACAGUGGGCACCUUAGCACCAAAAUGGGCCCACUCAAAAACUGAAAACCCUGGACCGGGAGGACCCCGGUAAUAAUUAAUCAUAUAACUCUGUUAUUUUCUAUGCUGUUAUUUCUAAACUGUGCAUAUCAGGAA